CCUACGGGUGGCAGCAGUGGGGAAUAUUGCACAAUGGGGGAAACCCUGAUGCAGCGACGCCGCGUGAGUGAAGAAGUAUUUCGGUAUGUAAAGCUCUAUCAGCAGGGAAGAAAAUGACGGUACCUGAUUAAGAAGCCCCGGCUAACUACGUGCCAGCAGCCGCGGUAAUACGUAGGGGGCAAGCGGUAGCCGGAUGUACUGGGUGGAAAGGGAGCGUAGACGGCAGCGCAAGUCUGGAGUGAAAUGCCGGGGCUUAACCCCGGAACUGCUUUGGAAACUGGGUAGCUAGAGUGCAGGAGAGGUGAGUGGAAUGCCUAGUGUAGCGGUGAAAUGCGUAGAUAGUAGGAGGAACACCAGGGGCGAAGGCGGCUUACUGGACUGUAACUGACGUUGAGGCUCGAAAGCGUGGGGAGCAAACAGGAUUAGAUACCCGUGUAGUC
rnacentral:rRNA from 1 species